AGUGAACGCUGGCGGUAGGCCUAAUACAUGCAAGUCGAACGGCCGCACAGUAAGAGCUUGCUCUUACGGGUGGCGAGUGGCGGACGGGUGAGGAAUACAUCGGCAUCUACUUUUUCGUGGGGGAUAUCGUAGGGAAACUUACGCUAAUACCGCAUACGACCUACGGGUGAAAGCAGGGGAUCUUCGGACCUUGCGCGAUUGUAUGAGCCGAUGUCGGAUUAGCUAGUUGGCGGGGUAAAGGCCCACCAAGGCGACGAUCCGUAGCUGGUCUGAGAGGAUGAUCGGCCACACUGGAACUGAGACACGGUCCAGACUCCUACGGGAGGCAGCAGUGGGGAAUAUUGGACAAUGGGCGAAAGCCUGAUCCAGCCAUACCGCGUGGGUGAAGAAGGCCUUCGGGUUGUAAAGCCCUUUUGUUGGGAAAGAAAAGCAGCAGGUUAAUACCCCGCUGUUCUGACGGUACCCAAAGAAUAAGCACCGGCUAACUUCGUG
rnacentral:rRNA from 1 species